GGAGCCAAGUGUAAGAUCUGGAAAAGGCUUGUGCAUGGAAAUAUGACCAGACUGCCGUCUGAUUUCAUUAAAGAGCAUAGAUAGUACCGCGAAAGCACUGAUUCCCUUGCCCUGGGAGGAUGCUCAAGUGUUUGUGAUAACUUUUGUGUUCUUCAACCAAAAGAUCAGAUUGGCAAGAACAGGCCCUGGAGAGGCAUGGUGUAGGCCUGUUGGAACAACAAGGGGCUGCCCUUGUGAGGUAAGAAUAUGAAAAGCACAAGGAUUUUUAUGGGUGUUUGCUGCCUGUGCUCGACUCGCCCGACCUUGGGGUGCUGUCAUCCACAAUUACAAGGCACUUGCUGUUCUGAAUGGAAACAGAGACAGAUCUCUUGGGAAGUGCUAAUAUUAUUUCUAAGUUUAAAACAUGAGCCCUAACACCUCAUACAAGAGACAACAGAGGAUGAAUUGUGGUCUGUGGCUAGAGCACCUGUUUUUAGCAGAGCAGUGUGGCAACGCUUACUUAAAACUAAGAAUAACCCCAUGUCAGGCAUGCUUUUAAAGGGUGGAUUGGGGUGUAUAGGAUAUGUGAGAAUUGGUUGAGAAGGGGCUGACCACUUAUUUUGUUUUUGAUUAUUUAAGUGAAAACUGUCCCCAAGUGUGGGAGCCCUUGCUGCUUGGGGCACGGUCUUGUGUAGGUGUAAUCUCUGAGUUUUAACUUCCACUGUGACGGUCAGCUGUGCGGGCUACCCUGUGGUAAGAGAGCCUUCAAUAUGCUGUUUUUCUUAAAGGAAUUACUGUUUCUAGGGUUUGGACCUAUCAAGUCCAGACACGGUCCUCUAUCUCAGAAAGUCCAUCAGAGAUCUUUUAGGUUUUUAAACCCAAACCUGGCUUGUGCUGUCAGUGCCAUAACUGCUAAGCUGUGAUUUGUUUGCUCGCUGUCCUGGAGAGCUGUGCUGUAUCUUUCUUCUGAGCACCCAGCCUGUUUGUGGAACUGUGAAAGUUCUUAGGGAGCAGAGAUGAUAAAGGUUAUUUAACUAGCACUUGCCCUCAUACUGGUUUCUACAGGUUCAGUAUUUAUAGAGCACUUAAACGCUUCAUAAUAUAUGCCUCUGAAUUAAUACAGUUGUGCUGGACUCGAAUCUGCUGUUGCUGUUUAUUACCUUGGGUGUUGAACUUCUCCGCAUGCCUGUUUAAGCACUUGGGCCACUGUGGAGCGUGGUUGGCAGGUGUUGGAGCUAAACCCAACACCUGGUUGGGUUUAGGUUGGCGAAACUCCCUCCAGGAAGAGCCCGAAACUCCUUGUGUCACCUACACCUUUAACGUCGCCCUUCAUCUCCGCAACAGGAUUGCUACUCCCUACCUCCUCCUAGCUGUAUCCUCCACCUUCUUGUUUUCCAUUGCCUCAGCACAUGAUGCCUGCCUGCCUCCAAGGUCUGGGUCCCUCUGUGUCUUUCCUCCAGUGUGUGCAUACCUAUGUACAGGCUUCGAAAGCCCCAUAUCCUCAUCCCUUUUUUCAGUGUUUGGCAUUGGCACCUCAGCACUGCACUUGGCUGGGGGCAGCUCUCGUUUCCAGGCCAAACUGCGUGUUUGCAACUUACUGGCCUCUUUGGCUCUAGGAUCCAGUGUGCUUGGUGCAGCGAAUAGCCCUGACUUGUGACUGCAGAUCAGUUGUUCCUGUGAUCAGGUCCCCCAGAGCAGGAGCAAGGCUGUGGCAUUGCAGUGCUGACAGGGAGUACGUGCUUUCUGACGGAGCCCUGCUUUUAAAGAAGACACGUAAUGUGUUUCACUAUUGUACUCUAGUCCUGCCACCCCAAACUGAUGGUAUGACAGAGGGCUCCUUUGAAAGAGCUUGAGAGCGCCCAGGUAGCUGAGUUGCACUUCCCUAUGCCACCCUGUGCUACAUGAACAGGAAUUUAUUCACAGGCAUUUCCACCAUUACAAAAACUAUUUAAAAUUCAGGGUUAAUUCAUGUAUCCACCUUUCUCAAAGAGCAGUGGGGGAUCUCUAGCAGGCUAGUGAUUUACAGAGGAAGUCAUCAGCACCAAUCUUCUGGGUGGGUUUAGUUUUCCAUAUCCCAGCAAAUUUUAAUCAUUAUGAGCAGUGUGUUAAAUGUAUUGUGUGAUAUAUUGCCCUUUUCCUCCUUAUACAGCAUGUAUGUUUGCCCCUCUUUCUGCCCUCUGUAUUUCUGUUGCUUGUUAUUUGAAACAGAAGGUUAAUAACUUGGAGCCUGAAGGCACACAGCCAGGAACUGAUCCAAGCUCUACUGGAUUUGAAAAAAAACAACCUCUAAUCCUUGCUAAACUGUCACAGUUUGCAGCCUCUGUUCCUAGAGAGAUUCAGCCUCAACAAUGAAAGCCAAAGACUGGUAUAUCUUGGUAAAUCCGAGUAAUCUCUAAGACUAAGGGAGGGGCAAUGGAGAUCAGCACUUUGGGAGAAAGCGCAGCACCCCCUGAUGUGCUUUGGGGGUAGGAGACAGGAGACAUUGGCAGUCGCUGUUUUCCUGCCAGCCUGUGAAGCCUUGAGUUCAUUUUGCUGCAGUCAAGCCCUCACAGGGGGCCCUGCUGAGCUGCACAAGUGAAAUACUAGCUGUAGUGGGAGAGGAAGAUGCCCAGGUUUCCUGGGGGUCAUCUGCUGGGAAUUGCGUAUUUCCUAUUCAAGUUAAUUUUGGAAGAGCACAAAUUAACCUUGCCUCAUGAACAAAAGCCAUUUGUGAGUGUUUCCUGCAAGGGAGCUGGCUGUCUGCUCGGUUCCGUGUGCAGCCUUUCCUCCAUAGGCUCUGGUGAUGUUACGGAAAGGCUUAUAAAAAGAAAAAAGGCUGCUUAACUAGUGGUCAAGGUGGUUGUGGGCCUUGGCUGCAGAGCAUUUAGCCUCCACUGACAGAUGGUGAGAGGAUACCCACACAGCCAGGGUGCCGCUUCCUGAAUUUGGGGAGGCUGCAGAGGUGCCCUGGAUGGUACCUGGGAGCAUGAACCAGCCCAGGCAGGAGUCAGGUUUUGGACCAGUGGAAAGUUUGUGACAAGGGAAAAAUUCAAACCAGGCUGCUGGACAGAUCUGUACACACACCUAAUAAAGGCUUUUUAAAACA